rnacentral:rRNA from 1 species
GCUUAGCCCUAAACAUAGGCAACACACAUACAAUGCUGCCCGCCAGAGAACUACAAGCGAAAAGCUAGAAACUCCAAGGACUUGGCGGUGCUCCACAUCACCCUAGAGGAGCCUGUCCUAUAAUCGAUACCCCACGUUCAACCCUACCACCUUUUGCCUUCAGCCUAUAUACCGCCGUCGUCAACCUACCUUAUGAGAGAAAAAAAGUAGGUAAAAUAGUUACUAACUAAUACGUCAGGUCAAGGUGUAGCAUAUGGGGUGGAAGAGAUGGGCUACAUUUUCUAUGCCAGAACACACGAACAGUCAGGUGAAACCCUGACUUAAAGGCGGAUUUAGCAGUAAGAUAGCUAAGAAAACCUGUCUUAAACCCGCUCUGGAG